ensembl:lncRNA
CACGUGCCUUUGUUUUGGUUUUGUUCUCUUCCUGUUCAGGUAUUGGUUGAUGUUGGAGGGUGUGUCAUUAUUGGUCCCAGCUGUCUGUGUUCAAGCGUGAUUAUAUUUGCUAUUUAAAGGCCUCGUGUUGCCGUGCACUUCGCGCAGUAUUAACUGAAUAAGUGAAUGUAAAGGUGAAUACGUUAAGUAUGCUAAGCGGUCAUGUUUUCGUGUCCUGUUCUUGUUUCAUGCCUCGAAUCUAGUUUCCUGUUUAAACCUCAAUUAUCUCUUCCAGUCUAGACCAUGUUUCAUGUUUGUUGACUUCAGUUUGAGAAUAAAGACUUUGAUCUGUGCUUGCUUCGGUUUAUAGUCUCAUUUCAUAACAGAAUACUGUGCCUGACACACGGAAGCAGCAGGCCAACAUGAAUGCUGCCGGAGUUGCCGAGUUUGAGGAGUGUCAUCGAUAAUUCUAUGAAAAGAAUAAACUGAUAAACGAACGCCUAGAUCAGAUCGACCACCUUAUGCAGCAAAGAGCGCUGCUGCCGCAAGCCAGGCCAUGCGCCACGUCGCCCCUCGCGCAAUUUCCCCCACCCCCACUGCCAGAGGACUACGCUGCACUAUAGCAGAGCUACCUGAAUUACUGGGGCUUCCUGCUGCCGGGGGACUACACUACGCUAUGCAGGCAGCAGAGCCACAUGAAUUACUGGGCUUUCCCGCUGCCAGGGGACUACACUAUGCUAUGCAUGGAGCAGAGCCACCUGGAUUACUGUGCCUUCCCGCUGCUGGGGGACUACACUGCACAAUGCAAGCAGCAGGAGGUCUCAGCUCCGGAGUCCCAGCCCGAGGUCAACAUGGCGACCUCAGAGAUCCAGCUGGAGACCUGCAAGGAGGUCUUGGCUGCCGAGGAGGCCGCCCUGCUGUCCUGCCCAGUGGAGAAAGUUGCCCUGCUGUCCUGUCCCGCUGAGGAGGCUGUCCUGCUGUCCUGUCCUGCCGAGGAAGCUGUCCCGCUGUCCUGUCCCACUGAGGAAGCUGUCCUGCUUUCCAGCCCCACAGAGGAUGUCUGUCCGAGCUCUAGCCCUGCAGAGGACGUCUCUCAGAGCUCCAGCCCCACAGAGGACGUCGUCCAGCGUUCCAGUCCCACUGAGGAUGUUGCCCAGCAUUCCAGUCCCGCUGAGGACGUCACCCUGAGCUCCAGCUGGAGAGCACGCGUGCAGGAGAUUACGUAAUGAGGACUGUUUCCUAUGGACACGUGCCUUUGUUUUGAUUUUCGGUAUACAGGUAUUGGUUGAUGUUUGAGGAUGUGUCAUUAUUGGUCUCAGCUGUCUGUGUUCAAGCGUGAUUAUGUUUGUUAUUUAAAGCCCUCGUGUUGCUGUACACUUCACGCAGUAUUAACUGAAUGAAUAAAUGUAGUGGUGAAUACGUUAAGUAUGCUAAGCGGUCGUGUUUUUGUGUCCUGUUCUUGUUUCAUGCCUCGAAUCUAGUUUCAUGUUU